AGAGUUUGAUCAUGGCUCAGAGUGAACGUUGGCGGCGUGGAUUAGGCAUGCGAGUCGAGCGAUCGUAGCAAUACGGGAGCGGCAAACGGGGUAGGAAUACAUCGGAACGUACCUUUUGGUUGAGAAUAGCGUCGGGAAACUGACGGUAAUACUCAAUAAAGUCGAGAGACCAAAGGUUUACUGCCGGAAGAGCGGCCGAUGCGAUAUUAGGUAGUUGGUGGGGUAAUGGCCUACCAAGCCUGAGAUGUCUAGGGGGUGUGAGAGCAUGGCCCCCACCACUGGGACUGAGAAACUGCCCAGACACCUACGGGUGGCUGCAGUCGAGGAUCUUCGUCAAUGGGCGAAAGCCUGAACGAGCGACGCCGCGUGCGGGAUGAAGGCCCUUGGGUUGUAAACCGCUGUCAGGGGGGAUGAAACCGUAAGGUGACAGAGCCCCAGAGAAGACGCAGGG
rnacentral:rRNA from 1 species